rnacentral:lncRNA from 1 species
AUGGGCCCAGCCCCGGGGCGGGGCGGCCGCUCGCUCGCGGCCUCGGGGAUGGAUUCUCGGCCGCCGGUGUCGGCACGGCACCAUCUUGGGAGGGCGGGAGGAAGGGGCGGACCGCGGGCGGCGCCGGCGGAGCUGCGGGCCCUGCGCGGCGCUCAGGUACCUCCGCGGGCGGGGGGCGGCCGGCGGCGCGUCCCGGCGGUUGUGCGCGGGGGAGGCGGGCGGCGAAACCCCCGCUCGGCCCCGCCGCCUGUCAGCCCCCACCGGCCGUCGUGGGCGAGAGGCCUCCCUGCCCGGCCCGCGGCGCUGAGGGGCGAGGCGAGGCCCGGCCCGCCUCGCUCCGCAGCCUGCCCUGGGGGCGGCUUUCCUCUUCCCGUCGUGCGUGGGCGGAGGCGCCGCGUGUGUGGGAGCCGUCCCCGCCGGCGCAGCGAGGGCCGUGCUGCUUCCUCACACGGGGGCGGGCCGGGGCCGGAGGUGUCUUCUCCCCGUCCUUCUGUCCGGUUGUCCUCUCUGGCUCUCAUCCUCACUCGUUCUACGUUAAUCAAACAUGAAAUGAGAAUCACCUGACGGUGACAGUACAUGUUCAAGGAGUGGGGGGUUGUGUCCCAGAACUCGUGGGAUUGGAGCAGCCAGUAUAACUGGAAAAACUAAAGCUGUUCUGUCUGUGGGUAAGCCUUGGUAUGUUGUCUUUCAUAUUGUAUUUACACAAGAUUAUUUCACCUCCAAGGAAGAAUUUCAAGUUGAGUUGCUCUCUUCAUAGUCUGUGACUGAGCUUCUGUUCUGGGUCUCAUGUUAUUCUUCUGAAAUACUUCUUUGGGUGUUUUGUUUAAUUCAUGAAACACCUAGGGGCAAUGCUCCUGUGUUACAAUGAUUUUUCAGUUCUUUUACUCAUAAGGAUCUCUUUCCUUAUCAUCAGUACAGUAGAAGUGCUUAUGUAUCUUGUGAACUUCAUGUGGUUUUUCCUUUUAGGUUUGAACUUUUAAUGGGGGCAAGGGGAAGGAGAACAAGUGAUAAUGUGCCCACUGAAAUGUGUAGUACUACAGAAACAAGUUUGCACAUUAAGUGUCGCCGUAGUUAUACAUUUUGCAUCCUCUGUAGUCGCUUCUCACCCAUUCAGUGUAGUAAGAGUUGGGCAAGACGUUGAGCCUUUGGCUUCUGUGUAAGCAGUGAGUUGAGCACGUACUGUGGAUUAUGUAGAGACUUUAAGUCCUCUUUGUUUUUGAGUACCAUAAAUUGAAGUGGUGACUGAAGUGAUCUAGGAUACUGUUACUAUUUGAAAAGCAAAAUGCAACCACAAGAAUUGAUAAAUACGCUUUUUUUC